UAGAUUUAUAUUUAUUUACUUUACUUAUUUGUUUAUUUUAUCAAGUCGUUAAGUAACUGUUGUUUGAGUAUAUCUGUUUUGCAUCAUCUGUUAUUAAAUAUGUAUGAUAAUAAUUUAAACAUAUUUAUAAUUUAAACAUAUUUAUAAUUUAAACAUAUUUAUAAAUAUAUAUAUAUAUAUAUAUUUUAUCAUACAUAUUAUCAUCAUUAUCACAGUUUUGGAAAUGUUUUGUCACAGAACUUUCAUUUGCAUUUUUGUCAUUUUUGUAUCGGCGGUCUAAAUAUAUCGAUUCCUUACACUAUGAUAGAAGAAACGUGACAUUGUAACACGUUGGACGAUGAGUGCUGUAUUUAAACACUGACCCAGUAACUCAUCCCCUACGCCUCUCACCCAACCUUUUCCACCCUCAUUUUGACCUCCGAAGACCACUCUGAAAAUUUCACACAAUCUUCCUUCACUGCAGUGGUUGCACUAGCGCUCUGAGCCAACAUGUUGCCAUAAUUGGGCCUGUAGUGGCGGCAGAGACCAAGGCAAUUAAUCCUUUCCUCCUGUUGUUUGCACCCUGGUUGGCAGUGACAGGGUGCAGCAUAAUUGGACCGGAGCCCACUUGUCCCCUCCAUUUUACAUUAAUAUCCUCUCAACUCCAGAAUCUAAUCCCGGCCAGGUUGAGAAUCCCACUUCUGCCACCAAUGUCCAGUCUCUCUUUCGUGCUCGUCCACUCCCACCUGUCAACUGUCCUCCAUCACCACGCUGGGCUAAUCCUACACGCUGAGCUCGCAGUUGAGAUUGAAAGUGCGCAAAAUGGGCUGGGGAUUGUCGGUGUGUGCUGUGUGUACGACCAUGUAGGGUUUUGGGUGUGUAAAAGUGCUAGCUAAAAUUCUGAUUUUUAAUUGGUUUGUUUGUCCGUAUCUCUACAGUGAAUGCCAUACAGCACAGCCGCUGAAGACCGAACCCAUUUUAGGACUUUAAAUUUUGUUAAAAAGCUAAGAAACUCUCAAGACAGUUAUUUUGGUCAAAGACAACAAAUGUUUAAAUUUGUUUAUUCAGAAUCAUUGCUGGAGCAGAGAUGGUAUAUGAUAUAUACAUAUACGAAAAAUGGAGAUCGGUUAAACUGUGUUCAGUGUGCAGAAUAUAGGGGGGCUUGGACACUUCAGACCCCCUUUAAUCCUCAAAAAGGAAGUACUCAUUUAAACUGGAAAUGUCAGGGUUAGGGUAGGAAGACAGGACUCGAACACAGACUUUUAAUGAAAAAAUACUUUAAUAGUCAAAAACUCCCACAAAGUAAAAGGGCAAAAACACACACAUGAACCGCCGGGAAAAAAGGCAGGCAGGAAAGCGGAACAUUCAGACAAUAGACAGGGACAUCCGUGACAAGAGACAAUGACGCCACAAGUGACAAACAAAACACACUGCUUAAAUACACAAGGGAGGUGCAGGUGAUUGGACACAGGUGGAAACAAUCCGACAAUCAUAGGGGAUGACAGGACCAGGCAGGAAGUGAAGUUACCCGGGGACACGAGUGGCAGAAAACUACAAAAUAAGACAGGAAGUGCACCACACCGUGACAGGAAAACCGUUUCACACAAAUAUGAAGCAAAAAUAUCCAUCCAUCCAUCCAUUUUCAACCGCUUAUCCGGGGUCGGGUCGCGGGGGCAACAGCUCCAGCAGGGGACCCCAAACUUCCCAUUCCUGGGCCAAAUCUACCAGCUCUGACUGCGGGAUCCCAAGACGUUCCCAGGCCAGUGCAGAGAUAUAAUCUCUCCACCUAGUCCUGGGUCUUCCCUGGGGCCUCUUCCCAGCUGGCCGUGCCUGGAACACCUCCCUAGGGAGGCGCCCAGGGGGCAUCCUCACCAGAUGCCCAAACCACCUCAACUGGCUCCUUUCGACACAAAGGAGCAGCGGCUCUACUCCGAGCUCCUCGCGAAUGGCUGAGCUUCUCACCCUAUCCCUAAGGGAGACGCCAGCCACUCUCCUGAGGAAACCCAUUUCGGCCGCUUGUACCCGUGACCUAAUUCUUUCGGUCAUGACCCAUCCUUCAUGACCAUAGGUGAGGGUAGUGUUAGGGUUUUAAGUAGAAGUGAAUGUCUAGUCAUAGAAUUUGUAGUACGUGUAAUGAUGUUUAGUGAUAGAAUUGUAGUUUGUGUGAUGUUAGAUUAGUUACUACAUUAACAUGUUAGAUGAAGUGAAUACAAUGUGAAUCAAACACAGUUUAUAGUCUCUUAAAUCGUAGAAACACUCUACAUAUUUACAUUCUGUUACAAUGUGAUGUUAAAACCUGGGGACGGAUGCCAAUUGCCGUUCUUUAUGGAUUUCUUCCAAUUUUUUCCCCAAAGAGGGUUUUUUGGGAGUUUUUUCUCCUGUCAGGUAAUAAAUGAACAACUUAAUGCGAGGCAGCCGACUAAGGCAAAUGUCUUGAGAAUUGGACCACAUGAACUGUCUUAGAUCUUAUGGUGAAGGGUGAUGAACGGGGAUCAUUUAAUGAUGGGUUGUUGUAAUUAAAGUGUACUAGUUAUAAGAUGAAGACUUAAACGAUGUAUGCUUUGUUAAAUUCACUCAUUGGGGCAUAAAGCCAACUGUAUCUACAUUGAGUGCAUUGGAAUGUGAGGGACAGCUAGGACAGAGAGGUUUCAGGUUACAGCUGCAGCUUCACACUCGAUGUGGAAGGGACAAUGGAGGAGGUGACCCUUUGGAGAAGAGGCCAAUGACAUUCAAAUGCACCAAGGAAGACACACCUCAAGAGUUUUCAAAGGACCAUGGCGGGGGAAAGACUGUUAGAUUUUCUCCUGCAGCCGCGUUGAUAAGUCACGUUAGACUUGCUCAGAGGAUUCUCUAUUUCGCGAAAUAUUCCACUGUUCGCUUAGUAUUUCACUUUGUAAUUGCAUUCCUUAUAACGUUGUUCAGUUAUUAAAUAACUUUUGAUUUUUGUAUUUAAACGAAUUGACUCACUCGUGUCCUCGUUUCCGGCCGGGACGAGAACAAAGGAGUGAGGCCUCCCUUGAGAGCCUUCCGAAACCUUAACAGUAGGAACGAAGAUUGACCGGUAGAUCGAGAGCUUUGCCUUCCGGCUCAGCUUCCGAACACAUCUCUCGCUUGGGGCCAUCCAAUCCAAGGAUUGGAUGGCCCCAAGCAAGGACCCCCUCACCCCGUACUCCCGCAGCACCUCCCACAGUAUCUCUCGGGGGACCCGGUCAUACGCCUUCUCCAAGUCCACAAAACACAUGUAGACUGGAUGAGCAUACUCCCAAGCCCCCUCUAUGAUCCUGGAAAGAGUGAAGAGCUGGUCCGUUGUUCCACGACCAGGACGAAAACCGCAUUGUUCCUCUUCAAUCCUCUUCAAACGCCUCUCUGCUAUUGAUAAUGCAAUAAAACAUCCAUCGGUUAAAAAGUAUUUUGUACUCUGAGUAGUUUUCGAGAAGAGUACUUUGAACUUUUGCUUAAGUAUUUUUUUAACACUAGUACUUUUGCUUGUAAUUGAGUACAAAUUUUCAGUACUCUUUCCACCUCUGCCGAAAACUGAGGGUGGUGUUGUUUCCUCUCAUAUUACGCUGUUUGUCCACAUUGCUGUGUUGUACCAGCUUCUUCCUUAGGUGGCACCUUUGCAAACUGUCCUCAAUGUAAAUGUUUAAAAAAUGCAAAUCUCCAAAUAACCUGACAUGUAGUAUAUUUCUUUCCCACGGGAACCUUAUAAUUGCACUUAAUUGAAAAUAUAGAUAAGAAACAUCAAGUCAGGGAAAUAUGUCCAAGCAAAGUUGAUACAAGUUGAGUUUUUACCAAAGAUCAUUGUUUGGUUUCAAAUAACUAUGGAAGUCCCAUUACUUAAGUACGCAAGUUACUUGAAGGAUUGUUUACGCAUAACAUCUGUAUCCAAAGAUUGUUGUUACAUUCAAAACUUUACCAGUCUUAGCUUCUUUAUCAUGUCAAGCCAAAGAGUCUACAGAGUUAUGAUUUUAUAAUGAUCAGUCAAGCAACCAUAUAAACAGGAUCUUACAUCUCUAUUAUAUUUAAAUUCUUCAGGGUCAGACAUUUGAAAUGGAAUCAUCUCCUUCCUCAAAUCUUUCAAAGGCCCAUACCAGUUUUUCUCACUUCAACAUCGUCUCUACUUCCCUCCAUCCCCUUCUUUCUUUCCUUCUUUUUUCCACAUCAAUUCCUAAUCUCUACAAAGAUCACUCUUUUGUCAGCAUAGGUGUGCUUCAAAAACACAUCAAUAGAAGUAUAAUAGCACUGUGGUUGCUUUGUUAUUUUAUAUCAUUCUUUUUUUCCCUGCCUGUCAUGCUUAAUUUUUGUGCAUCAACAGUUUAUGUGUGGUGUGUUUUUGCGCCUGGCGGGAGUUAGAAUUACAGUAGAGUGCUCUUGUAAACUUAGUUGAAUAUUCAAUCAGUUAUGUUUCAUAAUGACACAGCAAUGCAGCCAUUUGGUGAAGGGGGUUGCGGGAGGGGGUGUAGAGGAGACGGGAAAGGCAAAGGGAGAAAAAGGAAAAAUCAAUACAACUAGCACACUGGCAUGGCAAAGAGAGGGGAUCUAUUGUGGGGGAAUGAUGAUUUAUGUCAGGGGUGUAAGGGCUGUCUGGGUGCGUCGAGGACGAAGGUGCACCAAUAAUGAUUAAUGCCCCCCAGCUUCCUGGACACAACCCAACCAGCACACCAUGCCUCCCAUCUUUGAAACAGGACUUUUACCUCUUUCUCCUGACUGCAUUGCCAGCUUUCUUAUCGUACAUGCAGACAUUUCUCACUUGAAACGCAAACUAAAAGAGAGCAUCAACCGUCAGUUGCUUUGAUUCCAUCAACAAAUAUUGAUUGGUUUUGUUGCGCAAUUAUUAGUUACGCCCCUCAAUACGUUGCGGAAAAGUUUAGUUGAGUGGGAGAGUUUGGGUGUGAGUCCAAAGUAGAGCAGCAAUCCCCAACCUUAUUUGCUUCGGAUCGCGGGAAAAAAAAUAUGUUAUGAGCGACAAUCGCAUGUAAUUUAUUUUUCAAAAUAAAGUGACCGGAUUCCAAAAAAGUAAAAAGUACAUCACUGGUGUAGAAAACAAGUUUUGACGUUCAAACAAAUCGUUUGUUGUUUUUUCUAAUUUGUAUUUCAUUUUUAUAAACUAUAUAUUGUUCUGACAGCUCAGGUCCCUCUACAUGUUUUUGUGCACAUUUUAAAAUAUAACUAUAUAUAUUGGCAGAUGUAAAGCAUACAUGUGUAUGCUUUUUGUGUUAGUCAAUAUAAUGUUUUAUCAUUUAGUUUAUAAAAAUAAUUAGUUAUUAGUUGCAGCCCUUAACAUAGGCAUAAAGGUUGGUUAGUGGUUUCACUGGCUGACGUGCAAGAUUAUUCACAUUGCAACAGUUUGUGGUUCCAAGUUCCAAAAUUAUUUUCAUAUAGUUAUCCUACAUUUAUACUCAUUUUAUUAAUAUAUUGUCUGAGCCACAUUAAAAGCUCAGAAGUCUGCUGAAGGAGCAGGUUGGAGAGCAUAUAUGGCUCAAACAACAUGGGAUGACAAUCAACACACAGUUGUAGUAGUCCCACAACCAAUCAAUUCAACAUCACUUUAUUGUAGUUUCAUCAUGUAACGUCUGCAAUUACAUAGUUUAAGAGGUUGUGCCAGUGACCAAGCCAUGUAUGACAUACUUGUGGGGGGGGCGCAGACGGGGGUGUUCCGCACGGGGGGGAUUGGGAGUGUUACGCAGGGGGGGGAUCGGCGGUGUGUAAUUCAGUGGCAACAGUGGCACUCAAUGGCACAACUCGUGGCCACAGUGGCAACAGUGCCACUCAGUGGCACAACUCGUGGCACUCAGUGGCACAACUUGUGGCACUCAAUGGCAUAACUUGUGGCCACAGUGGCACAUCAGUGGCAACAGUGCCACUCAGUGGCACUCAAUGGCACAACUCGUGGCACUCAGUGGCACUCCAUGGCACAACUCGUGGCACUCAUGGCAACAGUGGCACAACUUGUGGCACUCAUGGCACAUCAGUGGCAACAGUGACACAACUUGUGGCACUCAGUGGCCACAGUGGCACAUCAGUGGCCACUCUGGCAAUUCAUUGGCAACCUGUUAGGCGUCCUCAAAGCGCCACUCGAUCCGAGAGGCUGCCGAGCUGUUUCUUGUUUUUUAUUGACUUGAGUGGGGUUUUGCUUUUCAAUUUAUUGGGUUUGUUGAGCAUGUUGUUUUGUUAUUCUAGGACUUGCACUUAUUUUUCCUAUUGCCACUUGUCAGAGGAUAUCCAAGCUGCCACAAUAAUACCUCUAGAUGUCAGAGUUUAUUCCAAAAAUACUCUUUUUAAGGUUAUUUUAUUCUGUUAUGUUUUCAAUGAAAAGUGCUAUUGGAACAUAAAUUCAGUUACACAUGAAAGCAUAAAUAUUUCAUUUGUUAUUUCAUUCAUAUAUAUACAUAUGUAUGAAUGAAAUAACAAAUGUAAACAAAAGGAAACUUAACAAUAAAUAAUAUAAACAUGUAAAAACAACCUGAAAAUAAAUUUAAAAAACUGAACUAGUCCCACUCUUUGAACAAAGCAUUGACUUUGUCCUUGCCCUUGUCAAUAAACUGUGCCACAAACAUUUCGUAGUCACUUCUGUACUGGAAUUCCACGACAAAGACAUUUAUCGGUGCAUCUGCGUCGUCCUCAUUUUCAUCCAUGGAGUUCUUGAGGUCUUGCAAUGCUCGUAGCUGGUUGCCUCUGUCCAUGUUGGUAAUUUCAGGCAAGGUUACCUUCCCCUUAAAUGCUUUUGUCUGCAACCACGUUGCUGCCAACAAGGUGUGUUCGAGCAUUUUCAUUUUUCCCUCAUUCUGCAUUUGAAGAAAAGGAGUAUCAUAAAAAAGGCAUACAUUUUAAAUAUAUAUAUUUUUAAUAAACGUUGACUAUAAAAUAUGAAACAAUAAAAAAGCAAUCCAUUAUAUUUCAACAAGACUGUAUAUAUAUUCUAUGUAUCUAGCACAAUUACCUGUUGGUCUGGUUGGGCUUUCUGCUUCACUGAACAUAACGAGAAUGAAUCAUCACAUAACUUGCAGGAUAUACUUUUCUCUAAAAGAUGAAAAGUCCAGUUAUCCGAAGCAACUACAUAAUUGUAUUACACAUUUCUAAAUUUAUUAAAAAAUGUAAUUUAUCUGUUGUUAAUUGUUGUAGAAAUCCAUAAUUUCUUCAUUCAACACAGACUUCCUAGCACCUACUUACUUAGAAACCUUACUUAGAAAUUAAUUCACAAACAAACAUUUACGUCAUUAAUUUCGUUUAACUUCACACUUAAAAAAAACAGACCACAAAUUGUCUGUCUCAUAAUUUUGCCUGCAGCAGCCUUCUUAAAUAAAACCAGUACUGCAGUACAAAAUCCACUUCUUAAUAUUAUUUGCUUUUUUGGGGGGAUAAUGAAUUUAUAUUUCAUUUGUUCAAUAUAUUUAGAAUUAGCCCCUAUUUGUGUCUUUUUUCUUAUUAUUUCAAAGUAGGUUUUUGAGCCAAUACUAGGACUCUGUCUCUGUGUGAAUUCAACUCCAGCUGAAUCUAUCAACUCUGCUGUGGUCCAUCCCUGUCACAAUGUGUAUAUAUCCUAUAGUUAGUAUUCAGAUGUAUACCCAUUACAUACAUUGUUUUUGUUUUAUAUAGUAGUCCAACCAAAGACUAAAGGAGGCAGGCAAACAUCACAUGUAGUGUAUAAACAAACAAAAAAGAAAAAAAUGAAUAUUGAUUCAGUUUAGAGUUUGUUUUUUCACCUGUCCCUCCACAGAGGCACGGACUGCUGACUUCAAAUCUUCAUCUGCGUUUUGAACUAUUAAAGUGAUAUUACAAAAGUGUUUUUGUAAAUUAACUUAAACAUCUUCAAAUGGAUGAAUAUUAUUUUCGUAUUCAUUUUAUUCUAAUCCAUGAAGAUCUGAAGUUCUGUUAACCUUGAUCACUGCUCUCCAUACUCACUGAAAGUGCUUCGGGAAUGUCAACUUUCUCUCUGCUCUCUUUUUUGCUCUCUCCUCUCCGAGCUGCAUUUAAGAAAAAAAGUUUUAUUUAAAUUGGAAACUUGAGUUGGUAGUUCGAGUUCAGAACAAGUAUUCCUGUCGUGACGCCACAGAACUGCCACUUUUGCCACUGAUGUGCUACUGUACCGCCGAUCCCCCCCCCCCGCGGAACACCCCCGUCUGCGCCCCCCUUCCAAACCCCCCCAGGGGAAUACGUCGGACUUGUGAUAGAGGUGGGGAAUAUGUAGUGUGUCAAAUAAAAUAAAAUAAAUACAAAAAACACAGCAAUGAAAUAAAAAGAACUACAAAAAACAUCUUUACGGCAGCUAACCUGUCGCACAAACAACGGCCAUUUCCGGGAAAGCCUGGCUCCGCCCACUCGGCGUGGCGUUGCGACGCCCGCCCCUUACUUGACGCGAGUUGUGCCACUGAGAGCCACUGAGUGCCACGAGUUUGUGCCACUGAGAGCCACUGAGUGCCACGAGUUUGUGCCAAUGAGAGCCACUGAGUGCCUUGAGUUGUGCCAAUGAGUGCCACUUGUCUUGCUGUGCAAAGACCUGCAAAAGGUAAAUAAAGAUGACCUCCAUUCAGUCACGGCAAAGAACGUGAGAUAAUCUCACCACUUCUGCUCCACAAAGAAGUACUAACUUGUUAAGUCUGGCAGAUAUAUUUUGCGAACUGAACACAUUGAAUGUGUCUUUGCAGAACACCUGUAUUUUAACAUGUCCACUCAUGUCGGUCACAGCCAACUUGACCAACUUGAUUAUUCUCAAGCCUACUCUGCUGAUAGGGAAGAGAUAUCUGUACAGCUGGAUCAAAGCUGAUGCCUUAAGGUGAGUGCACCUAGAUCCCAGCAGUUGCUGGGGCUGCAUUAUGAAGACGUGUAGGGGGCGCUAUUGAGCCAAAAUGCUGUUUGGAAGCAUUGAAAUCAUAUGAAGUAAGUACACCUAUAACUGUUAAUGUGUUUUCCAAGUUUGAUAAAGAUUGGAGCGUAACACAAACAGCGUAACACAAAAACAAAGUUUAAUAACUUAAUCACCAUGGGACCGUUUUGUCCAAAUUUGAAAAGUCUGUAACAAAGUCCCAGAGAGGAGUUCUUUAAAGUACAGCAUCUAGGAAGUGCAUAAAAUAGAGGAAAUUUUCACACAAAAAAAUUAACCGACUUCCUGUUCAUUUUAGAGCAUGGUCCCAAGACACUUUUUUUUACGUCUCCCUAUCAUGAAUAUGUCCAAAAAUUGUCUUUUAUGAAGGACAAACAGGGCGCUGGGGCUACUUCCUUGAAAACUCCCAAUAUACACUGUGAACUAUCAUCAAAGCCUUAAGGCUUAUAUUCAAGGUUGAUCAGAUUAAAUGGCUAGGAGAUACACAUUAAAGUGUAAAACUUUUGCAUUUAGCUAAGCCAAUAGGUGACGCUAUAAUUUUUUGAAAAUCACUGCGGAAAUACUUUAAGGCGUACGAUAGCAUCAUAAAUUAGAAGUUUCGGCCAGAAAUAAAAAUGUUCCUUGGAGUUAUAACAUCUUACGUUUUCAAGAAAAUUAACCAAAAUGGACGUCAAGCCACGCCCUGCUAGUUUCACAAAAACUCUUGAUUUUAAUAACUUUUGACCAUCCAGAUGUCAGAAUCAAUUUUCCCUGAAAAUGAAGUGGAUCGGGUCUAAACUCUCGGAGGAGUUUGUUUGUAAAUCCAAAAUACAAUAGAAAUUGCAAAAAACAUGCAAAAUUUCAGAGAACGACUGCAGCGCCCCCUAAAGUUCAAAUAUUCUGAAAGAAUCAGGGUAUGCUCAGGGACUCAAUGUGAACAUAUCCUAGAGAUUUGGUGAGGACAAGUCAAAUACCUUUGAAGUUAUACGUCUUUCACUUUUAGGCCACACCCCCUAAAACCUUCAUUGGUCCAUAACUUCGAAACCCAAAGAGAUAUCAACAAUCUUGCUAGGCGCUUUUGCACACCAUGAUUGACUUUUUUGUAGAGCAGAUCAAAGAGCACCUGUGUGCAAAAUUUCAAGUCAAUCAGUGAAACUGGGGGAAAAUUUCCCCAAAGAAAGCACUUCCAGGUGGCGCUAGAGAGCCAUUUUUGUAUCCCCAAUUGCGCAACCCAAAGAAUAUCUCAAUGUUUCGCACUUUUGAUUCGCACGCCAACAUUCAAGAGUUUUUGAAUAUGAUAAAGGCCUCAAAAGUGCGAUUAAAGUGGAGAAAUAAUAAUGAUAAUAAUUCUUCAAAACACAAUAGGGCUUUCGCCCGACUUGCAGUCGGCUCAGGCCCUGAAUAAAGUUAGCCAUGGUUAGCUCUAAUUUACUCGAAGAACUGGAUCUACAAUCCUUUCAAAUGUAAAUGACCAUUGUCAACACAAAUGAAGACUACAUCAAAUGUAUAUGGACAGUCACCAAAUCUUCAGCUCUUAUAAAAGUGUGUAAAGCUCCUUUUGUAAUGAAACAUAUGUAACUGAUUAAAACAAAUACAAAAAAAGAGUCAUUGCAUAUAACUGGUGCAGGGAUACGAUGUUGUCUUUGUCCAUUUCGCAAUGCUUUUGACAUGGCCAACUGAAAUUUCAUGGUCUUCCAUUGUUCUAUUGAUCCCCUUAACCUUUUCACUUCUGUACGUCCUAUAAUUAGUGUAACACAUUAUUUUCUUGGCUGAAUCAUAACCAGCCAUUCUCAACACAACCUACAUUUUUUGUUGAACAGUCUUUCCUAUUCCUUGUCCCCCCCUUCAUUUCCGGUUUCUCUCUUUUGGGUCUGUCCUCCAGGUUUUCCUACACCUGCUCUGUGCCGCCACAUUCUUGAAUUCCACUGAGCAGGUCUCCUCAAGUGGUAUAAAAAGCCUCCAACUGUCACGUGUGUAUUCUAUUCUAUUUUGCUUAGCAACGAACGUACAGUGGCCGAGGGGGAAAUCCAUACGUGCACGAACCAGGACAACUUGGUUGGUGACUUCCUCCUCAAGGUGUGGCGUUUAACUGUUUGAAUGCGUAUGUCCCACUGUCAAUGUGUGAGGCUUGAGAAACAUGCAAGUUUAUUAUUUUAGAUCUGUUUAUUGAGUAAAAUAAAACAAUAGGAUAAUUAAAUUAAAAUGUGUAGUAAAGAACAAUAAAACAUCAACUGAUUUUAAAGCAAUGAGGUUGUUUGAAGUGAGCUGAGAGUGUACCACUCUGUCAACCACAAAUUAUUAUACGUGUAAUUUACCAUGUCACCAUAAAAGACCAAAUUGACUUAAAAUUAAGUAGGUUACAUAAGGUCAGAUCGUGAGAUUACGCUUUAAUAUGUGUAACAACCACAAACAUAUAAAAGGCUACUUUGGCUAAAGUGUAGUUAUAGAUAUAAAAUCUUCCAUUUUUGCAGUAAAGCAAGAUACAAGAAGUGUAGAAUAGUAACAGCAAAACAAGCAAAAUGCUGACACAUGGGCUCUCGCACGCCACCUUACUUAAGGCAGAGGUACGGUUUCUCUCCCCUCUGAUUUUUCAUGCUGGUUAUGUCAGACUAAAUAGGUGUGGGAACAGUGUAGGUUGGGGAGGCCUAACCGCUGAAAGCUGGAGAGCCUGAAUCCGUAAUACUAUUCUUUGGCCGAGCCAAAUCGGAACAAAGUCCGAAGAAAUACUACAGUCUUAACUUUACAUCAACACAAGUCAUUUUAGGAGGGACCCCUAUGGUGUCUGUGGCUUCACCAAUCAGAUCUCAGGGCAAUUUCACUAUGACAGAUAAAUCACACAUAGGUGUGAGGACUGGUUUUAUGUCCUGUAGCAGCAAUGCAUUCCAAAACUCAGCCUUGGUUUUUACGCUAUGGUGGGAACCAAUAUAGGUUUUACAGAUAUAGGAAAUACAUUACCUAUAACAUGGAAAGAAAAGAGACGUGACAAAUGAUGAAAACGCAAAAUGCAAGCACCCAACCCAGUUUCUGCCUGCCUGCCUUUUGGACUCGAGGGUCCCCCACCUGAGUUCCGAUCAAGUCUACCACAUAAAAAGGUACUCCUAUAAACUAAUUUAAUAAUGGCGCACACAACAAAAAACAUUAGAGCCUAUCAAUAAAUAAUAGUAUAUCAAUAUCUUUACUGAUAAUUAAUGGUCCAGUCUUAUGGUGGCCAAUAGAAUUUUUAUGUGCUGUACUGGCUAUGCCAUGUGGUGAUGGAUCUCUGGCUACCCAGCUGUGUGGCUCCAGCACAGGGGCGGUCACUUUUAAGCUCAGCAUCAGCAGUUUGUCUCUGCCAGAGCUGUCAGUGCUCACCAUGCGGUACAAAGAAAGCAAGAACAGAGCAGCAAGAACAGAGCGACAGAGCGGGGCCGAAGGUGAGAUGAACAGAGUGAGAGAUGACCGCACAACGAAGAAAAUAAAUAGAUGGAGGACACUUUGCAGACAGAGAGAUGGAAGGAGACAAAGUGCUGGACUCUGCUACGAUGCCAAAUUUAAGACCCUAGAGCAGUGGUUCUUAACCUUGUUGGAGGUACUGACCCCCACCAGUUUCAUAUGCGCAUUCACCGAACCCUUUUUAAUUGGAAAAAUACAAUUCAAAACAUAGGUAUAUAUUUUACUGGUGCACAAAAUGAACCGUGCAUCAACAUCAGUGUUCAAAGAACAAAACCAUUAAAACAAUUUUUAAUACUUCUGCCAGUUUUGGAGGCAAGGUUUUUGUUGCCAACGCAUGCCUGUGAAGAAUACAAUGAGUAACAAUGAUGUGUGGUGCAUCGGCUUUCACUAGCGCACCAAAACCAGACUUUCUUCCCAGCAUGACUGGAGCUCCAUCCGAACAAACUACAGAAACCAUAUCCCACAAAAGAUUGUUGUCUUUGAAGUCAUCCACAAGUUUCUUCACAUCGGCUGCCUUAGUUGUUGUCGUAAGAGGCUUACAAAAUAAAAAAUCUUCCUUUAUCACGUUGUCUUUCACAUAGCGCACAAAUACAGCAAGCUUGCUUAGAUUGGAAACGUCUGUGGUCUCGUCCAGUUGAAGGCUGAAUUUUGCCAGGCUUGAAAUCAGAUCUGCAACUACUUGAGCCAAGAUGUCUUUGCUCAUGUCCUCUAUUCUGUCACUAAUGGUGUCAUUUGAAAGAGGAAUUUGGGAUAACUGAACUUCAGCCGCUUUUCCCAGCAUGAUAUUCGCCAUCUUCAACACAGCUGGUUUUAUGAGUGUUUCACCAAUGGUGUGUGGUUUGCCCUGCUUUGCGAUCAGGUAAGCAACUUUGUACGAUGCUGUGAGGAUCGGUUUGUUGAUGGGUACAAAGCCGAGAACAGGCAGAGUAGCCUUUUCAUCGAAUCUGGCUCUCUUCACCUUGAAUUCAGCGAGCGUUGUGUUCUUGUAUUGUCCAUCUCCAUGCAGCUUAAGGAAGUGUUCUUAGUUUUGCCGGUGCUAGACUAGAAUUGCUCAACUUGGCAUUGCAAAUCAUGCAGUUAGGACGCCGACUCCCAUCAUGUUCAGUUAUACAUGUGAAUCCAUAUUGUACAUAUUCGUCCGACCACUUUCUUUUUUUGCUCGUCAUAGUUAGUAUGAAGGGAUUAAAAUAUUAAGAAAGAAAUCACACGACGUACCAUCACGACAGUCACAAUUUGACUACUGAGCGUGCCAAAUUCCCUGCAGCACAGAUAGGCCAAGCGAUGUUGCGUGAUCUCCUGCAGCCAAUGAUGGCCAAGCGGGGCGUGUAAUCACGAAUCAUAUGAGUCGGGUGUGUGUCUUGACCUCCGCCGAACCCCUGAGACUGACUCACCGAACCCCUGGGGUUCGAUCGAACCCAGGUUAAGAACCACUGCCCUAGAGACAUACACUUUAUGUAUAUAUGGGUUUUAGUGACUUUAAUCCAGCUGUAUGUCCUAAUGUUAAUGUAUGAACGUGGCUAUAUAUUACACACACAAUUUGAUGCUUUGUUUUCACCAGGCACACAAAAUAAAGAUUUAAAUCAAACUGGGAAUAGAUGACAUUUUAUGUGGCAACAGCAUUAGAAAAGCAAAUUUGUUCUGUUUUUAUAGGGAUCUAAUACAUAUAAAGGGAUUGUCUUUCCAUAAGUCCCUGUAAAUGCAUGGUCAAAAAUAUAUGUAUUAUACAGUUAACUGCAGACUGUACCUUUUCAUUCAAUAUACACACACUCAAUAUGGUCCUCUGGUGUGUGUUAACCACACUGUUAUAUCCUGCCAGUCACUCUUUGGAAUGGACUUUUCAGUUUAAUCAACAGAAGCAAAGUCCUUUACAUCCGCUUGCAUGUUGCCCAUAUGACUAUGGCUAUUGCCUGGUAGUGUAAUUUGGGGUAACAUUUUUAUGGAAGAUUAAGACGAUCGAACUGUCAAAGAGAAUAGUGCUAUACAAGCGGCACAAGGAGAUGUCAACUUGGAGACAACUGAGGCCAUAUGUGAUUGUUCUGAGCGUGGAUCCCACAUUAACAGUGGAAAGAUCUUUUUUACAAGGCAAUGAAGUGUUAUUCAGAUUCCGCAUACACAGGACUGAGCAGAAUGGAAGAAGUGGUCACCAGAUGCGGAAAGCUAGAGAUCGCUCUAAAGAUGGAUGUGGUUACAGUGUAGUCAAACUACAUUUAUUUUCUUACUUAUUGUGGCAAUACGAGUGGCCUAUGACACUCAAGGAAAAUAACAAUGUCCAACAACGCCACUUGGGAUAGGCCCAAGACCAUUCACGUUAAGGCACACAGAGCCGUUCACCAAAAUCAGGGGUCAGAGACCAUAAGGGAAUUAUAAAAAUAUACGGUUUUAUUUAGUUAAAUAUUCAUUUUAAAAUGACAAUAUGUUAUUUGUUAAGGAGUAGAUCAGUGAUAAGAAAAUAAACAAAACAAUUCAAAUCAAUAAACCGGCAUGCAUAAAAAGGAAGAUGCAAACAAAAUAAAAAAAAGGAAAAGACCUACAUGCAAUAUAUACACAUACACAACAGUUAAUACACUAUAGAGAGACAUUUUUGUACCAGUUUCCAGAUUGCUUGUGUAGUCAGAAGUUUUACCAGAUGGGUUUCAGCCGGUAUCAAGAACAGGUUCAGUGGGGGAGGGAGAACGCUCUGGGGAAUAUUGGCCCUUUAAUUAGUCGUGGCACCAGGAUAGCCCCACAAUAGCAUGUCCAAGGCUGCAGCCCGGUCCAGCUGUGUUUUAAAACACACCGUUAGAACACGACCGCAAUGAAUGUACAGCAAACAGGCAAACACAGCGACUUACCGAAUUACAGUACAGGCCGCCCACGGACCCCGGCAGUGGCACCCACCUCGCACACACAGACAGCGGCCCACACUAUAACAAUUAAGACUGUCAGAUUUUAAUAACGCCCAAAUGUGUCGAAAGAGAGAAGCAUGCAUCGUACUGAGACACCAAACACCAGCAGUCCAGGCAUACAUCCACCCACACGGGGACAUCCAUGACCAAGACAGGGUCGCUAUAUGAAAGAAUGCACAUUGGUGCCGCAUACACGGCGACACAGGACAAUAAAAAGGCACAAAAGAUGGGGAAAGUGCCCUUACCACACCGCAGCAGAAUGAUGACCUAGGGCAGCGGCCAAAACAUGAAGCACGCCUCCCGGACACGUCUCCAUAGACACCCAGCAGGAGAAGACAACAAAGCGAGUCCACACACCACAGGCUUAUGUAAUGGCCCCGCCUCUCCCAAUCAAUCGGAAUUAGCCCCAGGUAUGCUGGUCCACACCCCUGUGUGCAGGUAAGAGGGAGGGGAAAACACUCAUCCGGUCACAUUAUUUUCCCGGUACUCGGGUAAUCAGACAGGCAACGGUAUCCAAAUUGCACGGCGACGACACACUAGGAAAUUGUUGGUAAGCUCACUGGUACAGACUGAGACAAACUGGCACAGAACAAGGAUUGACACAGACUAAAUACACAAGGGAGGGCAAACAACGAGACACUGGUGGAAACAAUCAGUUAUCACACAGUGGGGAGAGGUGCCUGACACAAGAGAACAGGUGAGUCACAGACAAACUACAUAAAAGGACUGGGCAUGAUGCUGUCAACAUAAACCUGUUAAUCUAUGCGAUUAAUGUGGCCAAGAUUAAUGCAAGAUAAAAUAAUUGAAAGUAGUUAACGUAACUUUGAUUACUUCCGGUCUAGUCGGAAGUUGGUUGCGGAAAAUAAACAAGCAAGACGGUAGCAAGAGAGCUUUUUGCAUUUAAUUUGAAGUAAAACAGCGGCAUACAGUAGAGAACUGUGGGAAGGAAUUCUUGUGCGAAGGAAUUCCACAGGUCUAACCGAAGGGGGGUGAGUGGCAAACGGAUAACUUAACUAGCUGCUAGGCUACUUCCAUCUCAACAUCUAACGUUACCCUGUGGGCACAGAGGCUGCAGAGGACAACCACUGUGUUCCUAAAAGACAGUGUUUUGUAAACAUCCUGGCUAAAUGUGGGGAGAUUGUUGGCACUUCAAACACAAGUGCACGAGGGAAGCAGGAAGGGUCGCUAGUUCAACAUGUUCCACUCCGUGGAAUGGUCUUCAACGUUUUUCAAGCCAUGGUCCCCCAAACUGAUGGCGAGGUGGAGCAGGGACCCCCUAUUCUACGGAGUUUGGUCCACCAUCUUUUAUUUUUGAUCUUCACGCUUUUUAGACGUGAGCAUAAACGCGAUCUGAUUGGCUGGUGCCUGCGCUGUCGUAUUCGCAUGAAAGGAGCUGUGAGUGAACCGGUGCCCAGCUUGAGAGCUGCUGAGGGAAGCUGAAUGUGUGUGUUGCGCACUGACAGAUAAAGUCUUCUCCAUCAAUUUAUCCGUUCGCUUCAAUAUGUUGGAUUCAUGUUAAUGUGUAUUUAAAGACCAUAAAUAAAAUUCUGAUUCUGAAGACAUUUACAUUUGUGGGGGAAAAAAUAGUUUAAAAAAAUGGUCUUAUCAACCAAAAAUUUCGCGACCCCCCUGCAGUACCUUCGCAGACCCCCUGUUGAAGACAGUCUGUCUUAGAUGAUCAAAUGUGUAUAGUUUUGUGUUUAACAUAAAAUGAACAAUUAAAUAAGUGUCUAAAAUACCCCCAUUCAUUGACAAAAUAUUCUAACAAUCAGUGCUGUAGUGGUAAAAUUAGAG
ensembl:lncRNA